ACUGCACCAAUAAUAUGUGAAUUUCUCACAAUGAUGGCGGUAUGUCACACAGCAGUACCAGAGCGGGAAGGUGAUAAGAUUAUUUACCAGGCAGCAUCUCCAGAUGAGGGAGCCUUGGUCAGAGCAGCCAAGCAGCUGAAUUUUGUUUUCACUGGAAGAACGCCUGACUCAGUGAUUAUAGAUUCACUGGGGCAGGAAGAAAGAUAUGAGUUGCUCAAUGUCUUGGAGUUCACCAG